AAUCUUGAUGCUUCAUAUAACCAAAGCAUCCGCCUGAGAACUACGAGCACAAACGCUUAAAACUCUAAGGACUUGGCGGUGUCCCAAACCCACCUAGAGGAGCCUGUUCUAUAAUCGACAACCCACGAUACACCCGACCACUUCUUGCCAAAACAGCCUACAUACCGCCGUCGCCAGCUCACCUCUUUUGAGAGCGCCACAGUGAGCACAAUCGCCCUAACCCCGCUAACAAGACAGGUCAAGGUAUAGCUCAUGAAGUGGAAGAAAUGGGCUACAUUUUCUAGCUUAGAAAACUCACGAAAAGGGGCAUGAAAUAGCCCCUAGAAGGCGGAUUUAGCAGUAAAGCGGGAUAACAUAAGCCCCCUUUAAGCCGGCCCUGGGGCACGUACACAC
rnacentral:rRNA from 1 species